rnacentral:rRNA from 1 species
UAAAGCUUCCAACUGGGAUUAGAUACCCCACUAUUCUUGGCUAUAAAAUCAAAAAAAUUUACCGGAGUACUACGAACUUAAUAAAAUUUAAAACUCAAAGGGCUUGGCGGUGUUUUAGACCUCUCAGGGGAACCUGUCUCGUAAUCGACAAUCCACGAUAGACCUAACCCUGUUUUGCACUCAGUUUGUAUACCGUUGUCGUCAGGUAACUUUCAAAAAAAUAAGAAGUUAGCGAUUAAAAUGAACUAUAAAUUAAGACGUCAAAUCAAGGUGCAGCUCACAACAGGGGGAGGAUGGGUUACAAUUAUAAAUUCAUAAAAACGGAAAAUGCAUUGAAUAAUGUACUUGAAGGAGGACUUGAAAGUAAAAUAAAAAUACAUAAACGGUUUGAAUAAGGCUCUGAAACGUGCACACACCGCCCGUCACCCUCUGCAGUCAAAA